AGAGGAAGAAAUGGACGUUAUGGGUAGAAGACAAAAACAUCUGAGGUAGUAUCAGGAAGUAGAGGAAGAAAUGGACCUUACAGGUAGAAGACAAAAACAUCGGAGGUAGUAUAAGGAAGUAGAGGAAGAAAUGGACCUUACAGGUAGAAGACAAAAACAUCUGAGGUAGUAUCAGGAAGUAGAGGAAGAAAUGGACGUUACAGGUAGAAGACAAAAACAUCGGAGG